rnacentral:rRNA from 1 species
CGAGGAAUAUUGCGCAAUGGGCGAAAGCCUGACGCAGUAACGCCGCGUGCGGGAUGAAGGCCUUCGGGUUGUAAACCGCUUUUGAGAGGGACGAGUGAGGACGGUAUCUCUGGAAUCAGUCUCGGCUAACUACGUG